rnacentral:lncRNA from 1 species
CUCAUAGACUAAGAAUGAGUCUGAGAGAGUCAAAUGGUUCUGAAUAGAACCCUAGUCCAAACAUAAAAUCAAGCCUGCGAAAAACCCCAAACACUAGGGUUUCUGACUCGAAUCAGAUGCAUAGACGAUAAGACAAUAACUAGAACAGCAGGCUCAAGGCAAAUGUAAUGUAGAAACCAAUUUAAAGCACAGGGAACACGUUUUAAGCAAAGCUUGUCACUCAAACAAGUUCAGUAGAGAAAAAGCGAUACAAGCUUAAGAGAAUAAUAGAUGAAACAUGUCUAGAAAGAACUCAAACAAAGCCCAGAAGAAGGAGAGUAAAGAGCUAAGCCUUAGUAGAAAAGUCAGUAAAAGAACACGGGGUAAAUGAACAUGUGAAAGCAUGAUAUAGAAUUAGAAGAAAGAGCGAAGCACAGUAAUGCAGGCAUAAGAACAUAACAUAGGCAGAUACACCCAAAGAAAAGAAGAAGAAGAAUCAUGCUUAAUAGAAAGAAAAACAGGAGAUCAAAUACAUGAGUAGUUGAGAAGAAAAAAUAAGAGACAAACAUAGACAGACACACAUAAAGAUAAAAGUAGACAAAAUCAAAAGGAUUUUCAAAAAUCCUAGUUUUAAAAUCAAACGAUUUUAAAAAGGAAAAAUUAGCGAAAAAUCUUAAAACGUCGAAUAUAGCACAGAUAUAGAAUAGAUAUAAGGAAACAACCAUAGAAACCUCAAAUAGCUUUAGGGUUUCAGAGAAAUCCUAGAAAUUAGAAGGCUUGGAAGAAAGUAUGGUCUCGAAUCGGAGAUGGCUAGAGAUAGCCUCCUAAAGCUUUAACAUGCCAGAGCAAGGCCGGAGAGGCCAUAGAACCUUGGAUCUGAGAAGAUCUGAACCGAAAUAGCUGAGGUCAGACCUCGAAUCUUAAAACACCCAAGGUUUAAGGGUGAAGGCAGGUGACCACAGACCGUCCAUGGCCGGAGAAGCCAUGGACUUCGGUGAGAUUAUGGUCAGAGAAGGGUGAGACGGGCUGGAGUUUCAGUACAACAGAGUUUGAGAGAGGGAGAGAUUUUUGAGGUGGC